UACCUUUAUAGCUGGAGAGUUCUUCUAACUCAUUGCAGUGAGGUCAACAUGGAAGACAUGGUUUUCCAGUAUUGAUCCUAACAUUUUCAAGAAUCACAUUGUGAUAUUUAUGUAGGAAUGAUUUUUCCAUGAAUUACUAAAGGAGGAUUGUUGAAACCAGAAAGUGAUGUGGUCUGCUGGCUAAAGUAUAGCUCCUGUACAUCAGAAUGAAGAGCUUGAUGCACAUAUGGAGUGACCCAGAGACAAGUUGAGGAAGUCAUCUUUAAUAAAUAUGAGUAGUGCAUGAGAACAUGUACCAGUUAAAGGGUGAAAGAUAAGAAUGUAGCCUAUUUCUUAUGCUUCAGGUAUUUUGUAACUGUGUGGUUUAGUAAAUGAUGCUUAAAAGUGGUAAAAACCAUAACUAUUUCUGGAAUCUGUGGUGAAUUCAAAAGGAUAUCAAGGAUUGAAAUAGGCACUGGUAUAGGAAUAGAAAGUCAGAGAAGGGGAAUGUUGUUGUUACUGCUACAUUAAUUGAGUAACAAGAUUCUUUUUAGUAGAUUUAGCUCAAAAGAUAGUGUGUAUAGCAGCAAUUUAAGUAUUACAAAUUUACUGGAUAUCUUUCAUGAUUUUUUAUUAUGUGUGAUUAAUUUAUCAAUGGUGCUAAUAGUACUUUCAAAGUUAAAUGAGGAAACUCUACAUAGAAAGGGUCAUAGUUAUUGUCAUCUGGCUGGAAAGAUUGUUUUAGCUGAAGCAAUUGUCAUGCAAAGUCAGUAGGAAAGAAUUCCACCUUUUGCAUGCUUUUAGUAGGAUGCUAAGACCAUCUAAUUGUUGAUUAGUGAGAAUUAGAUUUUAAAUUUUUGUAGCAAGUGGUGUGUUUUACAACAUUUGAUGUGGAUGAACUGAAUAAUUCCUAGUUUGCUAGGAUGAAAUUCACACAAAGUGUCUUUUGAAUUUGUUAUUUGCUGAUAUUACUGACUUUGGAUGUCUUGGUGCAUUUAUAUAUGAGACGGCUUACCGGCAGCAGAAGGGGCUAAAUCUGGAGUUAUUCAUGUUGGAAAUAAAACUGAUGAUCUCUAACUUUUCUGAUCAGCCAUCAGUGAAGUAUUAGUCCCACCUGAAAUGCUUCCCAUGAUUUAAUUGACUCUUUGGAAUGGGAGCUAAAAAAUCAAAAAAGCUUGUGCUGGUCUAUUGAACUUUGAUCUUCUGCUUUGUAGGAACUGGUUAAGAUGACUACCUGAUCCAUGUAUUGAAGUAUUGUUGUGUACUGUACCACAGCAUGAUACAUCACUAUCUUUUGAUCCCCUGCUGAUGCAUAUGCACAAUUCAUACCUUACAGGCAUCAGCAUUAACUAUUUCAUCUCAAGAACUGUGACACAUGCAGGCGCAAUACUGAACUUGAUAGUGAAGGAAUGGCAUGGGAAAACACAUUCCAUACUAGUAGUUGUUGUCUUUGUUUUCUGUGUGAUAUGUGUGCUCUACUUUAAGAACCUGUGGUAUAAUGAUUCAGAUGUGAAUAGU
rnacentral:lncRNA from 1 species